rnacentral:rRNA from 1 species
CCGUGAUAACGUAGCAUAAUCAUUCGCCACCUAAUUAGUGGAUAGUAUGAAUGGUAAAACGAGUAUAACACUCUCUCAGAAGGAAGUUUUAUGAAAUUGGAGUGGUAGUCAAGAUACUACCUAAAACUGUAAGACGAAAAGACCCUAUAGAGCUUAACUAUACCUUUCUCACAAAAUUAAGUUCACUUAAGUUCCAGAAAGAUUGGUAGUUUAGUUGGGGCGACUGCUUUCUAGUAAAAACGAAAGCAAGCAAUAUUAAUUAUCUAAUUUACUGUCUAACCUAUGUGUUUAACAGUUAUAAAAAUAGGCAAUAAUGACCCGUUAGUAAUAAAAAACACCACUAACGAACAAUAAAUAAAAGCUACCUUAGGGAUAACAGGAUAAUCUUGUUCUAGAGACCCUAUCGAAAACAAGGUUUGUCACCUCUAUGUUGAAUUAAGAUAUCCUAGAAGUGUAGAAGCUUCUGAGG